UUGGGUCACUGACAGCUUCUUGUCCAACUUGUGAGAUGCAGACUUUAGAAGUCAUUUCAUCUAGCCAAACUUUAGCAUACUAUCUCUUAAGUUUAUUCUACAAAAGAGAUGAGCUCAUCAGUGAGAAGUUUUAGAGUGGAAAGAAAGAAAAUUUUACAGACAGCAAUCUUAAGCUAAGUGCAAUUAUUUGGAACUGAUACUGAAAAUGGAAUUGUCAGUUAAGAGAUAGCUCACCUCAGCAGAGGGAAGAAUGUACUUAGAUGGAGGCUGUGAAGAAC
rnacentral:lncRNA from 1 species